rnacentral:lncRNA from 1 species
GGGACUAUCUAUUUAACAUUUGACUGUUUUUCAAUUGGAUAUCAUUCAAAUUUUCUGAGCAAUGUUCUGUUGACAUCUGUAUUUGCCCAAAACCACUGAUACUUCUCAUUCCCACUAAACGGGUCAGGCUAAAAAAAAAGACCCAGUUGUCAACUAAACCAAAAGAACAAUAAAACCCCACGUGAUCCCUCCCAGCAGCUUCCCUGUACCACACCUGACAACAAAAGGUAGAAGCAAAAGAGCCGUUAAACAUCUCUGCUUGAAAUUGCCUCCCAAUAAACAAAACGGAUAUCACUUCCCUGGAAUAUCAUCAAAUCUCACAGACUUUGUAUUGGGGAUAGCAGAUUGAAUAGAAACACUCUUAUUGCAUGCAAAAUCACAGAAAAAACCAGCAGUCAAUUGAAUUAUGAACAAACCAAAAGAAAAAAAUAAACAGGGAAAUAAAAUGAAAGCUAAAGUAAAAAAGAUGAAACUAACCAAAUGAGAACUUGCUCAGUGAAUGAUUCUCACUGCCAAAAACUUCCACGGAAGCAUGAAUGUUUGCAAGAAAAGAAGAUUGCAACACACAAUUCAAUACAUCAACAAUGAGAGACUCUG